CUACGGGGUGCUCCAGUGAGGAAUAUUGCACAAUGGGGGGAACCCUGAUGCAGCAACGCCGCGUGGAGGAUGACGCAUUUCGGUGUGUAAACUCUUUUUAUAUGUCAAGAAAAUGACGGUAGCAUAUGAAUAAGCACCGGCUAACUCCUGCCAGCAGCCGCGGUAAUACGGAGGGUGCAAGCGUUACUCGGAAUCACUGGGCGUAAAGGACGCGUAGGCGGGUUGGAAAGUCAGGUGUGAAAUCCUACAGCUUAACUGUAGAACUGCACUUGAAACUUCUAAUCUAGAGUAUGGGAGGGGGAGAUGGAAUUAGUGGUGUAGGGGUAACAUCCGUAGAUAUCACUAGGAAUACCUAAAGCGAAGGCGAUCUCCUGGAACAUUACUGACGCUAAGGCGUGAAAGCGUGGGGAGCAAACAGGAUUAGAUACCCGUGUAGUC
rnacentral:rRNA from 1 species